GGGUACAAUCCUUAAUCCUUGGGAGGCCACCUUCGGGAAGGGCCAGCCCAGAACGGAUCAGACUGUGAGGGAAGAAAGCUGGGGGAGCAAAGGGGAUUAGAUACCCCGGUAGCCCCAUCUGUAAACCAGGCACACUAGACAUUGGCAAUCUCGCUGGGGUUGCCAGGGCAGUAGCGAAAGUGUUAAUUGGGCCGC
rnacentral:rRNA from 1 species